rnacentral:lncRNA from 1 species
GAAACUUUGCAAUGAAAUUGGAGCGAUUUUCUAUGCUGACAUUCAGAGCUCCUGCUCAUGACUGCAAUACCUUCUGCUAAUAACGUGUUUCAUGUUUUAUUUUUAGGCAGAGGGAAUUCCCAGAGUGUCAUCUAGUGCACCCUACUGGCCGGACACAACUUCACCAGGGCUUCUCCAAAGAAGAGUUCGACAACCCAAAAUCCAGCUCGUUUUGGAUAAAAAAUGAAAAGAAGGAAACUAUGCAAACAUCUUAUUAAACGGUGAGAGUGAUUUUCUGCAUCCAAUUGCCUUGCUCACGAAUGAACGCUACAGGGAAGGAAAUGGAAUGAAGACGUGGGCUUUCUGGUUGUACUCUCAAACACUUGCAGUCCUUCACUUCUUUCAUAUAGACUCAGAAGCACUCAAGUUUCUACUUUCUGAUCAUUGUCCCUCUUCAAAGUCUGUGAAGUAACUCUCAUGGUGCAAACCAAAGGGAAAUGCAACCAAAGGAAGGAUAGCUUACUGUUGAUGUAAAUAUUUCAGUAUUCAAAAGAGGAUAAGAAUUUACAACAUCCUGUUUUUACCAUGGAUACAAGUAAAAAGAUCCUGUAACUGAUGUUCCUGGUGAUUAUUACAGAGUCUAGAGCAUAUACAUUUUUUAGAUAUGUAAAAGUAACUGAUUCACUAAUUUCAGUAAUUCUAAUGAACAUGUUUAUGUUUGUUUGUUUGUAUGUUUAUUUUAUAGAUCCACUAUAAAAGACAAUUGUUUUUCCUGCUAGUUGCAAAUUCUAAAGAAACCGGUUGUAUGGAAAGGGAUAUUUGAACUAGUAGAUGCGUGGCCAAUAUUUUGUUUUUCUCCUGAGCCUUGGAAACACCAGUGUGUGAGAAGUGUCCUAAUCUCUCUAGUUGACUAGCAUUCUUUCUUUCAUGGGUCUUCCUGUUUCAGCGGAUGUAUGCUGCUUGGAAUGGAAAAGUGAGAAGCUCUGAAAAAGAAGACAGUCUGUUAUAAAUGAAAGGUUUCAAAGAGGGAAAACCCCUAAGUUUAACAGAGGUGAGAGAUAAUAAUAUGUUCGUUGCAAUGGAAUAAAGCACCUGCUUUAUUUAAAGUAUUCCCAGGUUGUGUGCUGGAAUUUGUU